CAUUCACUUCCAUUUUUUCUUCUCGACCUAUAAUUUAAUUUCCUCUACAUUAGUCCCUGAGUGACGCUUGUCUAGGCCCAUUUGGCGAGCAUGGACAUGAGGCCGGCGCCGGCGAGCAUGGCGAGGUUGAUGCCGAGCUGGAGCUUGCCUUUGCUCUGCACCCUGGGGUUCAUGAAGUCCUCGGCGAGGAGGUCGACGAGGGCCAUGUAGAUGAGGAUCCCCGCCGCGACGGAGUUGAGGAUGCCCUCCACCACCAGCGCCGUCGGGCUGCUCUCGUUGUACACCGACGAGAUGCCCACGCCGACGGCGAUCCCCACCGGCGUCGUCAGGCAGAAGAAGAGGACCAUCGUCACGAUCGACCUCACCUUGAACUUCGCCUGCAUACAUUUUCAGGAGAAUUAAAUUAACUCAUGCUGUGUUAUUAAAUACAUUUUUCAGGAGUAGUAUGCAAAAGGUUGAUAUUGCCGGAACUAGGCAACUUGUAAAUUAAGCCAUUCCAUUUGUAUACUUCUUCGGGCCGUUCU
rnacentral:sRNA from 1 species